ensembl:lncRNA
CUCACAGGCACUUGCUGAGACCUAGGCUGAAAAAUGUGACUGACGCGGUCAACGUGGUCGAAGUGAGCCACACUUUGCAGGGAUUCUGAAUACACAGCGUUAAGAAAACCAAAGAUUUCCCAGGCUAGGAGACCGCCGUCGGUGUGGUGGUGUGAUUUGUGAUGGUGUGAUUCAACAAAAACGAAUGACAUGAAAACCUAUCCUGAUCUGACACUGCAGUCAAAAACCAGAGAGAAGACAAAGCCUUCUGUGAUCUGGAGCCACAGCCGGCCAGAAUUGCAAGACAAAGCCCAUUUUCCACGAAGGAAGGCCCUUCUCCCCAUGUUCCAGUACAUCCAGUGCUUUCAGGGCACCGAAACGUCCUCAAGUGAGCAAGAGAAAAUGUUCAUGGGACAGAGCCCCUUGGCAGCCAAAACCUGAGAUGAGUAUCCCUGAAGACUGACCACAGGCCAGAGGCUGAGCCGCUGGGGCAAGAGAAGCAAGUGCAUUAGGCCCAAGCACAACAGCCGUAAGAAAGAGGUACUGUUCCUCCUGCCAUUUUGCAGAUAAGCCUGCUGAGGCUUGAAGUUUUAACAGCCCUUCAGGGUAAGCUGCCAAGUUAGGACCUGCGCCCAGGACCAGCUCAUCCCCAAACUCUUGCUCUAAGCUGCUCUGCCACCAUGUUAACACUAGCUUGUAAGUGUACACUUUCUGAGGCUUCUCCCUCUCAAGUAGCUGGUAACUUUCAAAUAUGUGUGUAUAACAUGUAGUCUCAAGAGGGCCGGGGAUUUAGCUCAGUGGUGCCACCUCCUGCCUCAAAAGCGCAAGGUCCUGAGUUCGAUCUCAGGUAUUAAAAAAAAAAGCAGUCUCAAGAAGUAAGAGUUUGUUCUAUAUCCUUAAGAUACAGAAAUGUAAAUUUAGGAAAUGGGAAUACUGACAUCUGAAAAAUAAAUAAUGGAACCCAACUUAUAGUGUUUCUGAUACAGUCAAGUGAAAAGCAGUGUAAAAGCCAUUGCUUCUUUGGGUUUGUCUGCCUUCUUAUUUCUUUUGUGGUCACGAGCAUUACCAGUGGAGAGCUUGGGUUUGUCAUAGGCAGACGUCUAAUCCUUUCGGAAAAG